GAGUUUGAUCAUGGCUCAGAUUGAACGCUGGCGGCAUGCCUUACACAUGCAAGUCGAACGGCAGCACGGGAGCUUGCUCCUGGUGGCGAGUGGCGAACGGGUGAGUAAUGCAUCGGAACGUAUCCUGGAGUGGGGGAUAACGUAGCGAAAGUUACGCUAAUACCGCAUAUUCUGUGAGCAGGAAAGCGGGGGACCUUCGGGCCUCGCGCUCUUGGAGCGGCCGAUGUCGGAUUAGCUAGUUGGUGAGGUAAAGGCUCACCAAGGCGACGAUCCGUAGCAGGUCUGAGAGGAUGAUCUGCCACACUGGAACUGAGACACGGUCCAGACUCCUACGGGAGGCAGCAGUGGGGAAUUUUGGACAAUGGGGGCAACCCUGACCCAGCCAUGCCGCGUGAGUGAAGAAGGCC
rnacentral:rRNA from 1 species